rnacentral:misc_RNA from 1 species
GAUGAAGAACGCAGCGAAAUGCGAUAAGUAAUGUGAAUUGCAGAAUUCAGUGAAUCAUCGAAUCUUUGAACGCACCUUGCGCCCUUUGGCUAUUCUGAAGGGCAUGCCUGUUUGAGUAUCAUGAACACCUCAACUCUCAUGGUUCGCCAUGAUGAGCUUGGACUUUGGGGGUCUUGCUGGCCUACGGUCGGCUCCUCUCAAAUGAAUCAGCUUGCCAGUGUUUGGUAGAGUCGCAGGUGUGAUAACUAUCUACGCUUGUGGUUUUCUGCCAGAUAACCUUCAGUGAUGGAGGUUCGCUGGAGCUUAUAAAUGUCUCUCCCCAGUGAGGACAGCUUUUUGAACGUUUGAUCUCAAAUCAGGUAGGACUACCCGCUGAACUUAAGCAUAUCAAUAAGCGGGGA